rnacentral:rRNA from 1 species
UACAGAGGGGGCAAGCGUUAUUCGGAAUUAUUGGGCGUAAAGGGCUCGUAGGCGGUUUGUCGCGUCGGGAGUGAAAACCUCGGGCUUAACUCGGGGCUUGCUUUCGAUACGGGCAGACUGGAGGUAUGCAGGGGAGAACGGAAUUCCUGGUGUAGCGGUGAAAUGCGCAGAUAUCAGGAGGAACACCGGUGGCGAAGGCGGUUCUCUGGGCAUUACCUGACGCUGAGGAGCGAAAGUGUGGGGAGCGAACAGG